rnacentral:lncRNA from 1 species
CAUGCUGGAAUGAAGGCAGCUCUCUAAAGCUUGCAGGCACGCAUCAUUUUGAUUUAGUGAUGUCAGGUCUGUGACAAAAAAAAUUACACCCAUCUUGUUUAAUUUUGCAUUACUGAACAAAAACAGGGAUAUAAAUUAACACUCGCCCAUGCUGCCCCUGAC